GAUGAACGCUGGCGGCGUGCCUAAUACAUGCAAGUCGAGCGAACAGACGAGGAGCUUGCUCCUCUGACGUUAGCGGCGGACGGGUGAGUAACACGUGGAUAACCUACCUAUAAGACUGGGAUAACUUCGGGAAACCGGAUCUAAUACCGGAUAAUAUAUUGAACCGCAUGGUUCAAUAGUGAAAGACGGUUUUGCUGUCACUUAUAGAUGGAUCCGCGCCGCAUUAGCUAGUUGGUAAGGUAACGGCUUACCAAGGCAACGAUGCGUAGCCGACCUGAGAGGGUGAUCGGCCACACGGGAACUGAGACACGGUCCAGACUCCUACGGGAGGCAGCAGUAGGCAAUCGUCCGCAAUAGGCGAAAGCCUGACGGAGCAACGCCGCGUGAAUGAUGAAGGUCUUCGGAUCGUAAAACUCUGUUAUUAGUGAAGAACAAAUGUGUAAGUAACUAUGCACGUCUUGACGGUACCUAAUCAGAAAGCCACGGCUAACUACGUG
rnacentral:rRNA from 1 species